AUGCCCGAGGUCUUCCUAGAUCGAGAACCAGGCAGACAUUAGUGCAGCAGAAAACAGAAAGGGAAGACAGGAAGGGAGUGUUUGACUAACUAUAUGGGAACAAAUGCCAUAUUAUGAUAACCACCACCUGGAAACCACAAUUCCUGAAAUAUGCUCAACAUCCUUUUUUCUAGAAAGUUUGCAAUAAAACCUCUCUAACGGUAACUAGUAUUAUUAUCUUGCAUCAAAUCCUCCAGUUGAUAUUUAUGAAUGUCCAGUGUUUGUGUUUUCCGUGUUUCUCCUGAAGCCUUGUAUGAACGGCUAAGACAAUAGAGGUCCGCCACAGCUGUGUUUACCACUUUGGCCCCAUUUCCACCUCUCAAGGCGGGCUGAUUUUAGCAAACCUUUUCGAAAAACAUACAGAGGCCCUAACGUAUGCAGAGACACUCACUAGGUGUAAGGUUGAGGCCAUCUCAGGAGAUUGUUUGUUAUUCUGGUGACUUGGCUAGCAGGAGCUCUGCGGUAGAUGCUCUCACAGCUUCUGUGAUUGUACUGCUGAGGCCCACAUGAGGUUACCAGACUGUUUGUCUUGAUGAGAGGACGAGAUUUCAAAGUCUGCUUGAAAAGCAAAAGGUUCACUGUAGAGUCAACAAACACAGUCCUGCCCCAAACUCAUGCUAUUGGUCAAGCAACAAUGUAUCA